rnacentral:lncRNA from 1 species
GUCCGGGGCUGCCUCGGAGUCCGGGCUGGUGGGGCUGCGCAGAGGGCGAGAGGGGGGUGCUGCGCCGGGAAGCGGCCGCGCAGGCUCGAGUGGCGCGCGCCGCAGCGUCUUCCCCAGCUCUAAGCUCCCGAAGCUGCGCCGCAGCUCCUCCGAGCUUCAAGCUGCGGAAGACGCUGCGGCGCACGCCCUUCGCCGGGUACCCCGCUUGGGCCUCGCGCUCGGGCCUGGGUGAAUCGGCGCUCACACGGCGCCUAUGCUCAGCUCUGCGCAGGCGGAACAUCUGCCGAGCCGGCGCCGGAGCGGUAGGGCACGCUGAGGGGAUGCUCCACCGUGGCAUGCGAACGCGGACUGUGUCAGGCAUGAGAACGCGGGAGCCCUGCGGCUGAGGAAAGCAGACGUGCGGGGAGCCAAGCCCAGACUCUCAAGAGGGUAGAAAUGGCUACUAGGUAUAAUCAUGCUAAUUAUUUUUCUUUCUACUAAAUCUGCAGUAGGUGAAUUAUUUCAACAGCCAGAGUAUCAGAACCACAGAGCCCAUUCGAGAUUUUUAAAAAUCAGUAUUACCGUGUUCAAAGUUGUUUCUCUAAUUGUGACACCUUUUCGCCUUAUAACCGUAGCCUCACUUUAACACCUGGGAAGUUGGCAUUCUAUGAAAAAGAAAAAUCACAUUUGUUUAGAGGGAAGGUGGGGAGAGGUUGUCUCAAAGAGGGAAAGUCUGGAAAAUAAAGAUAUUUGGCUGUUCGCCCUCCCCUAAGCCACAAGGACUUCAUAACGUAGAAAUUUUAUGGUAGUUGUACAUGCAUUAUGGGGUUUGUAGUUUAAUGGAAUGUUUCUAGAAGAUACCUGAAAAACGGGUGGAACGUAAACUCACCAAAAUUUACCGUCCCCAACCUUCUGUUUUAAUCUUUAUCGGGAGUUGGCCACUUUAAGCAAUUAAUAAUGCCCCUCUGCGGGGCAGAGGAAAGGGAAUUAACACUUGCUGGAUGCCUUGCCCGUGCCGGGCAUUUUAAUGCUUGUAUCACCCUCUGGGGUGGGUACUAUUUUGCAGAUAAGGAAACAGGAUGAGAUUGACGUGUUUAACGUUACAGAAUAUGGAAGUUGGGCGCCACAACUUGGCUGUACCACAUUUAAACUCAAGUCUAUUAGGGGCUUGAUCCACUUUCUUUUCUCUACACCACAUUGUUUCCGUAUAAGCAACUUAUGUGUCGGGAGAGGACCUGCUCGUGCUUUUAUGUGUAAGCAUGAUAUCAAACCAAGAAAAAAUAAAGGAAACAAAAAAAAAAACCCAAGGAUAAAACUGAUAACUUAGACACACAAUUUGUGCCUUUCAUGUGACAGAAGACACUAUAAAGUCGAACAACUGGUAGUGAAACAGAGAAACAAUUGUAGUAAAUCACAAGCAAGUUAAUAUUUAUAUUCGAUUACCAUCCUUAGCGUAUGUUUUAUUUGCAUAAGAAAAUAUAAAGAGCUCUUACAAAUUAUUAAGAAAAAGAUAACACCCACUCUUUUAAAAAGUGAAGGGCGGACCAGUCGCGGUGACUCACGCCUGUAAUCCCAACACUUCAGAAGGCUGAGGCUGGAGGAUCACCUGAGGUCGGGUGACCAACACAGCGGAAACCCCCUCUCUACUAAAAAUACAAAUAUUAGCUGGGCGUGGUGGCGGGCACCCAUAGUCCCAGUUACUAGGGAGGGUGAGGUAUGAGAAUCGCUUGAACCCAGGAGGGAGAAGUUGCAGUGAGCCAAGAUUGCACCACUGCACUCAAGUCUGGGCGACAGAGUGAGACCCUGUCUCAAAAAAAAAAGUUUAGCCCCGGGCGCGGUGGCUCACGCCUGUAAUCCCAGCACUUUGGGAGGCCGAGGCGGGCGGAUCACCUGAGGUCGCGAGUUCUAGACCAGCCUGAACAACUUGGAGAAACCCCGUCUCUACUAAAAAUAACAAAAUUAGGCUGGGCGCGGUGGCUCACGCCUGUAAUCUCAGUACUUUGGGAGGCUGAGGCGGGCGGAUCACGAGGUUAGGAAAUCGAGACCAUCCUGGCUAACACGGUGAAACCCGUCUCUACUAAAAAUACAAAAAAAAAUUAGCCGGGCGUGGUGGCGGGCGUCUGUAGUCCCAUCUACUCGGGAGGUUGAGGCAGGAGAAUGGCGUGAACCCGGGAGGCGGAGCUUGCAGUGAGCCGAGAUCUCUCCACUGCACUCCAGCCUGGGCGACAGAGCGAGACUCCGUCUCAAAAAACAAAAACAAAGCAAAAAAUAUAUGUAUACAAAAUUAGGCCGGGCGUGGUGGCUCUGGCUCACGCCUCUAAUCCCAGCACUUUGGGAGGCUGAGGCUGGUGGCUCACCUGAGGUGAGGGGUUCAAGGCUAGCUUGACCAACAUGGUGAAACCCCAUCGCUAGUAAAAACACAAAAAUUAGCCAGGCGUGGUGGUGCGCGCCUGUAAUCCCAGCACUUUGGGAGACCCAGGCGGGCGGAUCAUUUGAGGUUAGGAGUUUGAGACCAGCCUGGCCAGCAUGGUGAAACCCCGUCUCUACUAAAAAUACAAAAAAUUAGGCCGGAUGCAGUGGCUCAUUCCUGUAAUCCCAGCACUUUGGCAGGCCUAGGCGGGUUGAUCACUUGAGGUCAGGAGUUCAAGACCAGCCUGCACAACAUUGGCGAAACCCCGUCUCUACUAAAAAUACAAAAUUAGCCAGGCUUGGUGGGGAGCGCCUGUAAUCCCAGCUACUUGGGAGGCUGACGGAGGAGAAUCACUUGAACCCGGAAGGUGGAGGUUGCCGUGAGCUGAGAUCACGCCAUUGCACUCCAACCUGGCAUUGCACUCCAGCCUGGGCGACAGAGAAAAACAAAAUACAAAAAAUUAGCUGGGCAUGGAGGUGGGCGCCUGUAAUCCCAGCUACUUGGGAGGCUGAGGCAGGAGAAUUGCUUGAACCUGGGAAGCGAAGGUUGCAGUGAGCCGAGUGCAGCUGCACUCCAGCCUGGGCAGCAGAGCAAGACUCCGUCUCAAAAAAAUAAAAAAUAAAAAGUCAAGGGCAUGAACAAGCUAGCCGGGUGUGUGUGUGUAUACAUACAUAACAUAUGGGGGGAUUUAAUAAUUAUAUGAAAAAUUAUCGCACCUCACUAGAAAUCAGAAAAACUUAAACAGUAAUAUACCACUUUCAAAUAGCAGAUUGACAAAGAUUUUAAAAGACCAAAAACCUGGAUGAGGAUAAGGAAUUGGCCGGGCGCAGUGGCUCACGCCUGUAAUCCCAACACUUUGGGGAGGCCAAGGUGGGUGGAUCGUUUGAGGUCAGGAGUUCGAGACCAUCCUGCCAGCAUGGUGAAAUUCCGUCUCUACUGAAAAUACAAAAUUAGCCGGGCAUGGUGGCGGGUGCUUGUAAUCCCAGCUACUCCGGAGGUUGAAGCAGGAGAAUCGCUUGAACCCGGGAGAUGGAGAUUGCAGUGAGCCGAGAUUGGGCCACUGCACUCCAGCCUGGGCAAUAGGAGGGAAACCCUGCCUCAAAAAAAAAAAAAGAAAAAGGAUAUAAGGAAUAGGCAUUUAUUUGCAUUAACCAUAUCAAGAAUGAAACUCUUGAUAUGUGCAAGGCUUUCUGGAAGACAGUUUGGCUUUCAUAAAAAUGUCAAAGCCUUUAAGACACCCUUUAAGCAGUUGUCUUACUCCUUGGAAUUUAUUUUAAUAAAAUAAUAGGAGGCCAGGCACUGUGGCUCACGCCUGUAAUCCCAGCACUUUGGGAGGCCGAGGCGGGUGGAUCACAAGGUCAGGAGUUGGAGACCAGCCUGACCAAGAUGGUGAAACCCCAUCUCUACUAAAACUGCAAAAAUUAGGCUGGGCGUGGUGGCUCACGCCUGUAAUACCAGCAUUUUGGGAGGCCGAGCCAGGUGGAUCAGUUUAGGUCAGGAGUUCAAGACCAGCCUGGCCAACAUGGUGAAACCCCGUCUCUACUAAAAAUACAAAAAAUUAGCCAGGCGUGGUGGUGGGCGCCUGUCAUCCCAGCUACUUGGGAGGCUGAGGCAGGAGAAUCGCUUGAACCCUGGAGGUGGAGGUUGCGGUGAGCCGAGAUCAAGCCAUUGCACUCCAGCCUGGGCAACAAGAGUGAGACUCCGUCUCAAAAAAAAC